rnacentral:rRNA from 3 species
UCUGGUGGUUUAUCGCCGGGGUCACACCCGUUCUCAUUCCGAACACGGAAGUUAAGCCCGGUUGAGGCGAUGGUAGUGGAAACGCGAGAGUAGCUAGCCGCCAGAA